ACACUGGUGUUUCAGUGGUAGAAUUCUUGCCUUCCAUGUGGGAGACAUGGGUUCACAUCCCAGGCAAUGUA
rnacentral:tRNA from 1 species